CAAGUCGAGGCCUUUCAGGAAGAAAGCUUGCUUUCUUUGCUGGCGACCGGCGCACGGGUGAGUAACACGUAUCCAACCUGCCCUUUACUCGGGGAUAGCCUUUCGAAAGAAAGAUUAAUACCCGAUAGUAUAAUGAUUCCGCAUGGUUUCAUUAUUAAAGGAUUCCGGUAAAGGAUGGGGAUGCGUUCCAUUAGGUUGUUGGUGAGGUAACGGCUCACCAAGCCUUCGAUGGAUAGGGGUUCUGAGAGGAAGGUCCCCCACAUUGGAACUGAGACACGGUCCAAACUCCUACGGGAGGCAGCAGUGAGGAAUAUUGGUCAAUGGGCGCGAGCCUGAACCAGCCAAGUAGCGUGAAGGAUGACUGCCCUAUGGGUUGUAAACUUCUUUUAUAUUAGAAUAAAGUGCAGUAUGUAUACUGUUUUGUAUGUAUAAUAUGAAUAAGGAUCGGCUAACUCCGUGCCAGCAGCCGCGGUAAUACGGAGGAUCCGAGCGUUAUCCGGAUUUAUUGGGUUUAAAGGGAGCGUAGGUGGACUGGUAAGUCAGUUGUGAAAGUUUGCGGCUCAACCGUAAAAUUGCAGUUGAUACUGUCAGUCUUGAGUACAGUAGAGGUGGGCGGAAUUCGUGGUGUAGCGGUGAAAUGUUUAGAUAUCCCGAAGAACUCCGAUUGCGAAGGCAGCUCACUGGACUGCAACUGACACUGAUGCUCGAAAGUGUGGGUAUCAAACAGGAUUAGAUACCCUGGUAGUCCACACAGUAAACGAUGAAUACUCGCUGUUUGCGAUAUACAGUAAGCGGCCAAGCGAAAGCAUUAAGUAUUCCACCUGGGGAGUACGCCGGCAACGGUGAAACUCAAAGGAAUUGACGGGGGCCCGCACAAGCGGAGGAACAUGUGGUUUAAUUCGAUGAUACGCGAGGAACCUUACCCGGGCUUAAAUUGCAGUGGAAUGAUGUGGAAACAUGUCAGUGAGCAAUCACCGCUGUGAAGGUGCUGCAUGGUUGUCGUCAGCUCGUGCCGUGAGGUGUCGGCUUAAGUGCCAUAACGAGCGCAACCCUUAUCUUUAGUUACUAACAGGUCAUGCUGAGGACUCUAGAGAGACUGCCGUCGUAAGAUGUGAGGAAGGUGGGGAUGACGUCAAAUCAGCACGGCCCUUACGUCCGGGGCUACACACGUGUUACAAUGGGGGGUACAGAAGGCAGCUACCUGGUGACAGGAUGCUAAUCCCAAAAGCCUCUCUCAGUUCGGAUCGAAGUCUGCAACCCGACUUCGUGAAGCUGGAUUCGCUAGUAAUCGCGCAUCAGCCACGGCGCGGUGAAUACGUUCCCGGGCCUUGUACACACCGCCC
rnacentral:rRNA from 1 species